AAUUUUUCCAACAGCAUUCUGUAUUUAUGCAGUCUCCUUCCUCAAACAUCCUCACCCCCUCAAACUCCUUAUAUUACAUUAGAAACACAGUGUCCUGGGCUCUACAUCAAUGCCCUCCACAGUCCUGGAGCAAUGACAGUGCAGAGUCAUGAGGUGGAGGUGGGUGGAGUUCCUUGUUCAGAUGAAUGAGGAAGCUCAGUGACUCAGAGAGAACCUGUAGUCUGUGAGCACAAGUUGUCUGGGCACAAGACUGACCCCCUUCAGAGCUGGAGAGAAGACAUCCCAGCAAGUGGACAGGGGCCAUGGAGAGGAACCUGGGAGCUGUGCUGGGGAUUCUGUGGGUGCAGAUUUGCUGGGUGAGAGGAGAUGGUGUGGAGCAGAGUCCUCCAGCCCUGAGUCUCCACGAGGGAACCAGUUCUGUUCUGAGAUGCAAUUUUUCUAUCACCACUACAACUGUGCAGUGGUUCCGACAGAAUCCCAGGGGCAGCCUCAUCAGUCUGUUCUUCCUGGCUCCAGGAACAAAGGAGAACGGGAGGUUAAAGUCAACAUUCGAUGCUAAGGAGCGCUACAGCACCCUGCACAUCAGGGGUGCCCAGCUGGAGGACUCAGGCACCUACCUCUGUGCUGCUGAGGCACGGUGCUCCCAGUGAGCCUGCAGCCUGGCCCCAAACUGCAGCUGGGUGUGCAGCUACAACCCCUGCCUUGGAAGACUCUGCAGGAGGCUUUGCACAGCUGUGGCUUCAUCAGAUCUCCACAAAUCACAAAGAUGUGGGGAAACAUAAAAAUACCACUGCAGUUCCCACUUACAUUCUGACUGACAUGACACUGACUUCUAGAGUGCUAAAUGCUCAGAAAUAUCAGCAUGCAUGACUAAAAUAUACCCCUUUAUUUUUCCAUGUUUGUAC